rnacentral:rRNA from 1 species
GCAAGUCGAGCGCAGUCCUUCGGGUGGAGCGGCGGACGGGUUAGUAACGCGUGGGAACGUACCCUUUACUACGGAAUAGCCUUUGGAAACGAAGAGUAAUACCGUAUACGCCCUUCGGGGGAAAGAUUUAUCGGUAAAGGAUCGGCCCGCGUUAGAUUAGGUAGUUGGUGGGGUAAUGGCCUACCAAGCCUACGAUCUAUAGCUGGUUUGAGAGGAUGAUC